UGGGGAAUCUUCCGCAAUGGACGAAAGUCUGACGGAGCAACGCCGCGUGAGUGAUGACGGCCUUCGGGUUGUAAAGCUCUGUUAAUCGGGACGAAAGGCCUUCUUGCGAAUAGUGAGAAGGAUUGACGGUACCGGAAUAGAAAGCCACGGCUAACUACGUGCCAGCAGCCGCGGUAAUACGUAGGUGGCAAGCGUUGUCCGGAAUUAUUGGGCGUAAAGCGCGCGCAGGCGGAUCGGUCAGUCUGUCUUAAAAGUUCGGGGCUUAACCCCGUGAUGGGAUGGAAACUGCCAAUCUAGAGUAUCGGAGAGGAAAGUGGAAUUCCUAGUGUAGCGGUGAAAUGCGUAGAUAUUAGGAAGAACACCAGUGGCGAAGGCGACUUUCUGGACGAAAACUGACGCUGAGGCGCGAAAGCCAGGGGAGCGAACGGG
rnacentral:rRNA from 2 species